rnacentral:rRNA from 1 species
UUUCAAGCCCUCACGUUUCUGGAGCGGCCGAUUUCAGAUUAGUUAGUUGGUGGGUUAAAGGCUUCCCAAGGCAUCGAUCUUUAGCUGUUCUGAGAGGACGUCCAUCCACACGGGAACUGAGACACGGCCCAGAUUCUUACGGGAGGCAGCAGUGGGGAAUUUUGGACAAUGGGGGAAACCCUGAUCCAGCAAUGCCGCGUGAGGGAAGAAGUCCUUCGGGUUGUAAACCUCUUUUGUCAGGAAAGAAACCGUUUGAUUUAAUAUCUGUGGUUAAUGACGGUACCUCAAGAAUAAGCCCCGGCUAAUUUCGUCCCACCAGCCGCGGUAAUACGUAGGGUGCAAGCGUUAUUCGGAAUUACUGGGCGUAAAGCGUGCGCAGGCGGUUAUUUAAGUCAGAUGUGAAAUCCCCGGGCUCACCCUGGGAAUUCCAUUUGAGACUGCAAGGCUAGAGUAUGUCAGAGGGGGGUGGAAUUCCGCGUGUAGCAGUGAAAUGCGUAGAUAUGGGGAGGAACACCGAUGGCGAAGGCACCCCCCUGGGCCAUUAUUGCCGCUCAUGCACGAAAGCGUGGGGAGCAAACAGGAUUAGAUCCCCUGUUAUUCCACCCCUUA